UACAGAGGGUGCGAGCGUUGUUCGGAAUUAUUGGGCGUAAAGGGCGCGUAGGCGGUGCGGUAAGUCACCUGUGAAAUCUCCUGGCUCAACUGGGAGCUUGCAGGCGAAACUGCCGUGCUGGAGUGUGGGAGAGGUGCGUGGAAUUCCUGGUGUAGCGGUGAAAUGCGUAGAUAUCAGGAGGAACACCUGUGGCGAAAGCGGCGCACUGGACCACAACUGACGCUGAGGCGCGAAAGCUAGGGGAGCAAACAGC
rnacentral:rRNA from 1 species